rnacentral:rRNA from 1 species
AGUGAACGCUGGCGGUAGGCCUAACACAUGCAAGUCGAACGGCAGCACAGUAAGAGCUUGCUCUUACGGGUGGCGAGUGGCGGACGGGUGAGGAAUACAUCGGAAUCUACUUUUUCGUGGGGGAUAACGUAGGGAAACUUACGCUAAUACCGCAUACGACCUACGGGUGAAAGCAGGGGAUCUUUGGACCUUGCGCGAUUGAAUGAGCCGAUGUCGGAUUAGCUAGUUGGCGGGGUAAAGGCCCACCAAGGCGACGAUCCGUUGCUGGUCUGAGAGGAUGAGCCGCCAGACUGUAACUUAGACACGGUCCAGACCCCUACGGGAGGCAGCAGUGGGGAAUAUUGGACAAUGGGCGCAAGCCUGAUCCAGCCAUACCGCGUGGGUGAAGAAGGCCUUCGGGUUGUAAAGCCCUUUUGUUGGGAAAGAAAAGCAGCAGGUUAAUACCCCGCUGUUCUGACGGUACCCAAAGAAUAAGCACCGGCUAACUUCGUG